UCUAACCUCCAAAGUUGGUUUCCAUAAGGAAUUUAAAGAUUGUCCUGGGAUGAUGGACCCCACAGAAGUUAUAACAAGAAGAGGACAAGAGUGACCAUUAAGUAUGAACUUCUUUAGGAGAAUAUAACAGGUUUGGAAGAUCAAGGAAUGAAAAAAGGCACCAACGGUCGUGUUACUGCUUGUGGUGGCUCCCCUUAAAAACUCCAGGUGCUGGGAGAAUCAAACAGUUUAAUAUAUGUAAAAUGCUUAGAUUUGGACCUUAAUACUAAUUUACUACACCAUUCACUCUGAUAUAGACUGAAACCCAGGAUAAU
rnacentral:lncRNA from 1 species